rnacentral:miRNA from 1 species
GACGACGACGGGGAGGACGCGC